AAUCGGGUAGACGCUACGGACUUAAAAUCCGUCGACCUUAGAAAUCGUGA
rnacentral:tRNA from 1 species